rnacentral:rRNA from 1 species
GAAAGAUGAAAAGAACUUUGAAAAGAGAGUUAAACAGUACGUGAAAUUGUUGAAAGGGAAACGAUUGAAGCCAGUCGUACCUUCGGGUAAUCAGCCUUUCGGGUGCGAUUCUGUGGAGCGUGAGGAGUUAAACGCCUUCAUGCCUGCAUAUUCGUGCACUUUGGGUGUACUUGCCCGUAUGGUUGGUUAACAUCAAUUUUGGUGGUCAUAAAAUGACUGGAGGAAUGUAGCUUCGAUCUCGUAUUGAAGUGUUAUA